rnacentral:misc_RNA from 1 species
GAUGAAGAACGUAGCGAAAUGCGAUAAGUAAUGUGAAUUGCAGAAUUCAGUGAAUCAUCGAAUCUUUGAACGCACAUUGCGCCCCCUGGUAUUCCGGGGGGCAUGCCUGUCCGAGCGUCAUUUCAACCCUCGAACCCCUCCGGGGGGUCGGCGUUGGGGACCUCGGGAGCCCCUAAGACGGGAUCCCGGCCCCGAAAUACAGUGGCGGUCUCGCCGCAGCCUCUCCUGCGCAGUAGUUUGCACAACUCGCACCGGGAGCGCGGCGCGUCCACGUCCGUAAAACACCCAACUUCUGAAAUGUUGACCUCGGAUCAGGUAGGAAUACCCGCUGAACUUAAGCAUAUCAAUAAGCGGAGGA